GGGGUUAUAGCUCAGUGGCACAGCACGUGCUUAGUAUGCAUGAGGUCUUGGGUUCAAUCCCCGGUAAUGCCA
rnacentral:tRNA from 1 species